rnacentral:tRNA from 1 species
AGAGUUUGAUCCUGGCUCAGGACGAACGCUGGCGGCGUGCCUAAUACAUGCAAGUAGAACGCUGAAGGAGGAGCUUGCUUCUCUGGAUGAGUUGCGAACGGGUGAGUAACGCGUAGGUAACCUGCCUGGUAGCGGGGGAUAACUAUUGGAAACGAUAGCUAAUACCGCAUAAGAGUAGAUGUUGCAUGACAUUUGCUUAAAAGGUGCACUUGCAUCACUACCAGAUGGACCUGCGUUGUAUUAGCUAGUUGGUGGGGUAACGGCUCACCAAGGCGACGAUACAUAGCCGACCUGAGAGGGUGAUCGGCCACACUGGGACUGAGACACNGACAAUACUCAUUAUGAAGCUGGAACGGCAGAAGAGAUUAUUCCUCGUUGGUACAAGGAAGGCUACCGAGCAGAUGCUUUGAUUGUUGACCCACCACGUACAGGUCUGGAUGAUAAGUUAUUAGAUACUAUUCUUACUUAUGUACCAGAAAAAAUGGUUUAUAUUUCUUGUAAUGUUUCGACCUUGGCUCGUGAUUUGGUACGCUUAGUAGAAGUCUAUGAUCUUCAUUAUAUCCAGUCGGUCGAUAUGUUCCCACAUACAGCUCGAACUGAAGCUGUUGUAAAAUUAAUAAAAAAAGUUUAAAAAAGGUGUUGACAAAACAUAAAAAGGCUGUAUAAUAGUAAGAGUUGAAAAUAACAACUCAGGUCCGUUGGUCAAGGGGUUAAGACACCGCCUUUUCACGGCGGUAACACGGGUUCGAAUCCCGUACGGACUAUGGUAUGUUGCGGUUGGAACACUUGAUGAAAAAAAGUUUAAAAAAGCUUAAAAAUCUUAAAAAAAGUGUUGACAAGUGAAAGUGGCUGUGAUAUACUAAUAUAGUUGUCGCUUGAGAGAAGCAAGUGACAAAGACCUUUGAAAACUGAACAAGACGAACCAAUGUGCAGGGCGCUACAACAUAAGUUGUAGUACUGAACAAUGAAAAAAACAAUAAAUCUGUCAGUGACAGAAAUGAGUGAGAACUCAAACUUUUAAUGAGAGUUUGAUCCUGGCUCAGGACGAACGCUGGCGGCGUGCCUAAUACAUGCAAGUAGAACGCUGAAGGAGGAGCUUGCUUCUCUGGAUGAGUUGCGAACGGGUGAGUAACGCGUAGGUAACCUGCCUGGUAGCGGGGGAUAACUAUUGGAAACGAUAGCUAAUACCGCAUAAGAGUAGAUGUUGCAUGACAUUUGCUUAAAAGGUGCACUUGCAUCACUACCAGAUGGACCUGCGUUGUAUUAGCUAGUUGGUGGGGUAACGGCUCACCAAGGCGACGAUACAUAGCCGACCUGAGAGGGUGAUCGGCCACACUGGGACUGAGACACGGCCCAGACUCCUACGGGAGGCAGCAGUAGGGAAUCUUCGGCAAUGGACGGAAGUCUGACCGAGCAACGCCGCGUGAGUGAAGAAGGUUUUCGGAUCGUAAAGCUCUGUUGUAAGAGAAGAACGAGUGUGAGAGUGGAAAGUUCACACUGUGACGGUAUCUUACCAGAAAGGGACGGCUAACUACGUGCCAGCAGCCGCGGUAAUACGUAGGUCCCGAGCGUUGUCCGGAUUUAUUGGGCGUAAAGCGAGCGCAGGCGGUUAGAUAAGUCUGAAGUUAAAGGCUGUGGCUUAACCAUAGUAGGCUUUGGAAACUGUUUAACUUGAGUGCAAGAGGGGAGAGUGGAAUUCCAUGUGUAGCGGUGAAAUGCGUAGAUAUAUGGAGGAACACCGGUGGCGAAAGCGGCUCUCUGGCUUGUAACUGACGCUGAGGCUCGAAAGCGUGGGGAGCAAACAGGAUUAGAUACCCUGGUAGUCCACGCUGUAAACGAUGAGUGCUAGGUGUUAGACCCUUUCCGGGGUUUAGUGCCGUAGCUAACGCAUUAAGCACUCCGCCUGGGGAGUACGACCGCAAGGUUGAAACUCAAAGGAAUUGACGGGGGCCCGCACAAGCGGUGGAGCAUGUGGUUUAAUUCGAAGCAACGCGAAGAACCUUACCAGGUCUUGACAUCCCUCUGACCGCUCUAGAGAUAGAGUUUUCCUUCGGGACAGAGGUGACAGGUGGUGCAUGGUUGUCGUCAGCUCGUGUCGUGAGAUGUUGGGUUAAGUCCCGCAACGAGCGCAACCCCUAUUGUUAGUUGCCAUCAUUUAGUUGGGCACUCUAGCGAGACUGCCGGUAAUAAACCGGAGGAAGGUGGGGAUGACGUCAAAUCAUCAUGCCCCUUAUGACCUGGGCUACACACGUGCUACAAUGGCUGGUACAACGAGUCGCAAGCCGGUGACGGCAAGCUAAUCUCUUAAAGCCAGUCUCAGUUCGGAUUGUAGGCUGCAACUCGCCUACAUGAAGUCGGAAUCGCUAGUAAUCGCGGAUCAGCACGCCGCGGUGAAUACGUUCCCGGGCCUUGUACACACCGCCCGUCACACCACGAGAGUUUGUAACACCCGAAGUCGGUGAGGUAACCGUAAGGAGCCAGCCGCCUAAGGUGGGAUAGAUGAUUGGGGUGAAGUCGUAACAAGGUAGCCGUAUCGGAAGGUGCGGCUGGAUCACCU